UUUAUCCAUUUCAUUUGUUUCACUCACGAACCCAAUACAAUAGCUCAUAGAUGCGAUGAUUUGUCCUAAUUAUUAUGAACCAACACAAUCGAAACCUGUUUUUUCGAUUGCAUCGAUUGUUUAUCAUUCUUGUUUUAACUUCGAAUCAUAUGGAAAUCGCCUCCGCCGUCUGUUUUGCACCCAUAAAAUCAGCUGGGAAGGAUUUUGGUUAGUAUUGUAGUUGUUGGAAGUUCAAGUUAGCAAUCUGAGUACAUUUCCCCCCACCUGGUCAAUUCAGGUUAGGUUUAGAGUGUGGUUAUAACAUCCAUCAGUUCUUGCUAAUCCGAGAAUAGGUGGAUAAGGUACACGCUAUUAUCUCGAAUGUUGAUGGUUUGAUCCACUCACAAUUUUUGAGCUCAAGAAAGCAUCCAUCGUUAUUUGGGGAUUUUUUGGGUUGGCUUGUUGUGUCUAAUUUCUUAUAACGUGAAGCGUUGGGGAUAAGUAGUUUAAGGAAGAAAAAUAAGUGGCUGUGGAGGUUCUCAAAAGGGUUAACUGAGUUGUGUUGUGGCAUGGUAACGGUGAAGAUGAGCUGGGGUGGUUUACCCACAGCAUGGAAGGGCGGGAAGGAAGUUCUCGGUGUAUCUCCAAAUUCAGUUGUCAUAUCAUCUGGAGAUUUUUGUUCAGCUAUGUUCGUAAUAGGAGGAAGGAUUCGUUUUGGAAGGAAAUGUCUGGGUAAUUUACAAUUUGCAGCUAGAUUCCCAUUGUUCUUCUUAGUUUGAAGUGGGAUAAUUAAUCGGUCUUAGGUGCUUGGUUAGAGCCUAGAGGCAACUUGAUUUUGUAACGUUGUUGCUACAGGAAGAGGGAAUGGGAGAGCUAAAACUACAAGUUUCGUUGGGUCUCCUUGUGAGUUGUGUUCAGUGAUCGUUGACUCUCAAUUAUUGUUACGAGGAAGAGAAUUGGAAAAGAGGAAAAUGUCAAAUGAUAUGUUAAUGCAACUAGGAAUGUUGUGAGUGAGCACAUGACUUGGUUAUGACAUGGGCAGGGUGUGUUUAUUUUAGGGGGUAUUUGUAUAUAGCAGGAAUAGAGAGGUAUCUUUUUGGUUAGUAUAACCUUGAACUUGUCUGGGAAUUUGGGGAGAGGGAAGCUCUUGAGCUAUCCCUAGCGCACGUUGAUGUACCUUCGAUAAGAAUUGUUCUACCAGCGUUAAUUUUUUGGGGGAAAACAAGAGACAUUGACAUUUUUAUCCCUCGGGCAGCCAAUUUCUUGGUAAAACCCUUGUUAGAUGUAUUCACUCUUCUUCACCACCAGUGGACUUCCAAGACUUUGUAAAGUAUGCAAGUAGGGGAGGUUCAAGCUCAUCUAUUCUUCACUGUUCUCAUGGUUCAAAAUGUUGGGAAGGAAUAUUUCACCUCCUUGAAGUCUGAACAAUAACGGUCAUUGAUUCUUCUCCCGUUGAAAAUAUCUGUCAGUUUACUUGAUCAAAGAUUAAAGAGCUAGGUCAAAAUUUUGGAUCAAAUCUAUAAUAUCCAAUUGUGAAUCUAUGAUAUAGAGGAAACCAAAAGGUUCUCUAAGGCAAGUGCAUUGCUUGGGAGAAGAGAGUAGGUCUGGGGUGACGGCAUGCAUCUCCCUGGAGUGCUUUAUCUAGCUCUUUUUUUUUCUACAAUUACUCUUCACGUGUAAAUUGUAAUUAAUUCUAAUUGAAAUUGUGGUACUUUCAUAGAAAUCUCAAUGGGGUUCAUGUAAAUUUUUGGUCUAACUUCUCCAUACAUCAACAAGAACAUUCUUGUUGCCACUGUAUUGACAAUGCUGCUAUAAACUGAAAGCCGACAUACCGUGUUUCCCUCUUA